rnacentral:misc_RNA from 1 species
AUUACAAUGCCUAAAACCACCAGGGGAUCGUCACGCAGAAAAUACAGGAACAACCAUGCAGCCAUCAUUAUUAUGAAGACGAUCAAAGAUGCAGGGUGCCAGAGCAAGCUGAGGAACAAGAUGAAAAGUAUGAUAAUAACAUAGUUAUAACGAAAGAAUGCAACAUUCGUUUUGAUCUUUUGAACGGACUCGCUUAAUGUGAAAGGAAGGUUGAAAGAUUGCAGCUGGAUCAUUUCCCUCCAUGGUCUUCGUGUGCCAAGGCUCAAUUCGAUCUUGUCUUUUGCGUUUGAAAUGAUGCGUAGGUUUGAUGGUGGAUGCAAUUCUGUUGGUAUUGUUCCAUAUGUUGCCAUUUUCCGACGAUCAACGCACACAUACAGGGAGAGAAAGUACUCUAGGGAAAUGCUAACCUGGAAGGGGGAGAAGAAGGCCAAAAAAACGGUUUUACAAGUUUAAGAAAGAGGCAUGUGAAAUAUGGCAAAGGUGCACCAUUAAUUGACUGUUAGUCCUGACUCUGAUGGUUUAUAUUGCAAUAGAAUAUCACACAUUGAUCUUAGGUUGCUGAUUGAUCAAGUGAUUGAACAAGUUUGAGAUUGUGGUUUGUAUUGUGCACCAGAAGCACUAGAUUCUG